GGCUGGGGGUGGAAGUGCAGUAAUGCAUGGAGCUGACCAGUACUAAUCGGUCGAGGGCUUAUCCAAG
rnacentral:rRNA from 1 species